GACGAACGCUGGCGGCGUGCCUAAUACAUGCAAGUAGAACGCUGAAGGAGGAGCUUGCUCUUCUGGAUGAGUUGCGAACGGGUGAGUAACGCGUAGGUAACCUGCCUGGUAGCGGGGGAUAACUAUUGGAAACGAUAGCUAAUACCGCAUAACAGUAGAUGUUGCAUGACAUUUGCUUAAAAGGUGCAAUUGCACCACUACCAGAUGGACCUGCGUUGUAUUAGCUAGUUGGUGGGGUAACGGCUCACCAAGGCGACGAUACAUAGCCGACCUGAGAGGGUGAUCGGCCGAACUGGGACUGAGACACGGCCCAGACUCCUACGGGAGGCAGCAGUAGGGAAUCUUCGGCAAUGGACGGAAGUCUGACCGAGCAACGCCGCGUGAGUGAAGAAGGUUUUCGGAUCGUAAAGCUCUGUUGUAAGAGAAGAACGAGUGUGAGAGUGGAAAGUUCACACUGUGACGGUAUCUUACCAGAAAGGGACGGCUAACUACGUG
rnacentral:rRNA from 1 species